rnacentral:lncRNA from 14 species
CCGGCUGGAUUGGGCCAUCGAGCGCAUGGCCCUCAAUGCCAAGGUGCUGGCGGGGGGCGAACGGGAGCAGAUGGUGGCGGCCGCCGGGGGGGGGGGGACAUCAUCCUAUGGGCGCUGCGUGCCGAUGGCAAUGGCAGCGAGAUCGGUGAGAGCCCCCCCCGUCCCUAUCCCCAUCACCAUCACCGCGGUGGUGCCGCGUCCAUGGCACCCAUGGGUGCUGGGCCCGGCGCAGGUGUCUUUGACCUGGGGGUGCCGGCCGAGGCGUUGUUCUUCGUGGGCAACCAGCUCAUCGCCACCAGCCCCGGCGGCACCAUCGGCGUAUGGAACGCGGUCACCAAGCACUGGCAGGUCCAGGAUGUGGUACCCAUCACCAGCUAUGAUGCUGCCGGCACCUUCCUCCUGCUGGGCUGCAGCAAUGGCUCCAUCUAUUACGUGGAUGUGCAGAAGUUCCCCCUGCGCAUGAAGGACAACGACCUCCUGGUGACCGAGCUCUACCGCGACCCCGGCGAGGACGCCGUCACCGCCCUCAGUGUCUACCUCACCCCCAAGACCAGUAAGAGCCCC